GGCGGCAUGCCUAAUACAUGCAAGUCGAGCGAACAGACGAAGUGCUUGCACUUCUGACGUUAGCGGCGAACGGGUGAGUAACACGUAAGGAAUCUACCUAUAAGCGGGGGAUAACAUUCGGAAACGGGUGCUAAUACCGCAUAAUAUCUUCUUCCGCAUGGAAGAAGAUUGAAAGACGGCUCUGCUGUCACUUAUAGAUGACCUUGCGGUGCAUUAGUUAGUUGGUGGGGUAAAGGCCUACCAAGACGAUGAUGCAUAGCCGACCUGAGAGGGUGAUCGGCCACAUUGGGACUGAGACACGGCCCAAACUCCUACGGGAGGCAGCAGUAGGGAAUCUUCCGCAAUGGGCGAAAGCCUGACGGAGCAAUGCCGCGUGAGUGAAGAAGGCCUUCGGGUCGUAAAACUCUGUUAUAAGAGAAGAACAAAUUGUAGAGUAACUGCUACAGUCUUGACGGUAUCUUAUCAGAAAGCCACGGCUAACUACGUGCCAGCAGCCGCGGUAAUACGUAGGUGGCAAGCGUUGUCCGGAUUUAUUGGGCGUAAAGGGAGCGCAGGUGGUUUCUUAAGUCUGAUGUGAAAGCCCACGGCUUAACCGUGGAGGGUCAUUGGAAACUGGGAAACUUGAGUACAGAAGAGGAAUGUGGAACUCCAUGUGUAGCGGUGGAAUGCGCAGAGAUAUGGAGGAACACCAGUGGCGAAGGCGACUUUCUGGUCUGUAACUGACGCUGAUGUGCGAAAGCGUGGGGAUCAAACAGGAUUAGAUACCCUGGUAGUCC
rnacentral:rRNA from 1 species